CCCCUCCCACCCGAAUAUGACAUGGCGUCCCCAGCAGAAAUAUUGAACCCACUUUUCAGCUGUGGAACUGGUCGACACAGAAACCCUUGAUUGUCAUAAAAACAGCAACACAAGUUCAAAUGGAACUGGUGAUCGACAAACCAUGGACGCUGAAGAAAGGCUCCUCGACGCCAAGCUGUCAUCCGGAAGAUUGAAGAUGAAGAUUGCCGUGUCGAGCAGUCAUCAUGACCAUUUUUUUGCUGAUCCCCCCCAGUUUUUGAAAAGAUUCAGAAUACAAAAUCACUCUUAGAAGUAGACGGUAUGGUAAACAAACCAAAGUUAACACCUUUCAGUUAGUAAAACAUAGCUGGCCUACAGUAGGCUAUGACUAAACAUCUGGGUGUUUUGUAUGCUUGACAUAAAGAUUAAAAUGAAAUAUUCACCCUUAUGUUCAGCUUUUUAAACUUGCAAAUCAUGGAGUGGACAUUCUUCCCCAAGCUUGUAAGAAAUGCAUUACUUCAAUCACA